UGCAGUGGGCCCAGAGCACUGGCACAACGUUUUCAUGUUGUAGCCAAGUGCCUUUUUGUUGCAGGAUGAGCAAGUCAGACUUUAAUCUGGAUUAUGCAAGUGAGACUUUGCAGAGAAUACUCCAAUGCUAACACCCUGAAGAACUCACCAGUGACAGCAGAGUCCUGGCUGGAGCAGUCACAGCUGCCAGCAGAGGAGAAGCUACAUGAGUAUGAAGCAUUGGAUUCCUUCUGAGGGAGCAAAUGGCUGCCUGGGACACAGUGGCUGGCUACGUCCAACAACAGCUCUUGCUGCACAAGGUGGG